UACGGAGGGUGCAAGCGUUGUCCGGAUUUAUUGGGUUUAAAGGGUGCGUAGGCGGCCCGGUAAGUCAGUGGUGAAAGCCUCCAGCUCAACUGGAGAACUGCCAUUGAUACUGCCGGGCUUGAGUACAGACGAGGUUGGCGGAAUUGAUUGUGUAGCGGUGAAAUGCAUAGAUACAAUCAAGAACUCCGAUUGCGUAGGCAGCUAACUAGGCUGUAACUGACGCUGAGGCACGAAAAGCGUGGGGGAGCGAACAGG
rnacentral:rRNA from 1 species